CUACGGGUUGCUGCAGUGGGGAAUAUUGGACAAUGGGGGAAACCCUGAUCCAGCAAUGCCGCGUGUGUGAAGAAGGCCUGCGGGUUGUAAAGCACUUUCGGUUGGGAGGACUGCUUCUAGCACUAAUAUUGUUGGAAGUUGACGUUACCUUCAGAAGAAGCACCGGCUAACUCCGUGCCAGCAGCCGCGGUAAUACGGGAGGUGCAAGCGUUAAUCGGAAUUACUGGGCGUAAAGCGCGCGUAGGCGGCUAGAUCAGUCGGGUGUGAAAGCCCCGGGCUUAACCUGGGAACUGCAUCCGAUCCUGUCUAGCUUGAGUACAGGAGAGGAGAGUGGAAUUCCACAUGUAGCGGUGAAAUGCGUAGAUAUGUGGAGGAACACCAAUGGCGAAGGCAGCUCUCUGGCCUGAUACUGACGCUGAGGUGCGAAAGCGUGGGGAGCAAACAGGAUUAGAUACCCCCGUAGUC
rnacentral:rRNA from 1 species